rnacentral:rRNA from 1 species
UACGGAGGGGGCUAGCGUUAUUCGGAAUUACUGGGCGUAAAGCGCACGUAGGCGGAUCAGAAAGUCAGAGGUGAAAUCCCAGGGCUCAACCUUGGAACUGCCUUUGAAACUCCUGGUCUUGAGGUCGAGAGAGGUGAGUGGAAUUCCGAGUGUAGAGGUGAAAUUCGUAGAUAUUCGGAGGAACACCAGUGGUGAAGGCGGCUAACUGGACCAUUCUUGACGCUGAGGGACGAAAGCGUGGGGAGCAAACAGG